rnacentral:tRNA from 2 species
GCGCGGAUGGUGGAAUUUGGUAGACACGAGAGACUUAAAAUCUCUUGGCCUCACGGUCGUGCGGGUUCAAGUCCCGCUCUGCGCACCA